rnacentral:rRNA from 1 species
GAUGAACGCUGGCGGCGUGCCUAAUACAUGCAAGUCGAGCGAACGGACGAGAAUCCUGCGUCUGUGAGGUUAGCGGCGGACGGGUGAGUAACAUGUGGAGAACCACAAUAUAAGACUGGGACAACUACGGGAAAGCGGAGUGAGUAGCGGAAGAUGGUAUGAACCGGAGGGGGCAAAAGUGAAAGAUGGUCUUGUUGUUAAGUAAAUAGGGUACCGCGCUGCUUAAGCGAGUUGGUAAGGUAACGGCUUACCAAGACAACGAUGCAUAGCCUACCUGAGAGAGUGAUAGGCCACACUGGAACUGGAACACGGUCCAGACUCCUACGGGAAGCAGCAGUAGGGAAUCUUCCGCAAUGGGCGAGAGCCUUACGGAGCAACGCCGCGUGAGUUGUGAAGGUCUUCCGGUCGUGAAACUCUGUUAUUAGGGAAGAACAUAUGUUUAAGUAGCUGUACACAUCUUGACGGUACCUAAUCAGAAAGCCACGGCUAACUACGUG